GUGUGUGUGUGUGUGUGUGUGUGUGUGUGUGUGUGUGUGUUCGCGCGCGCGCGCGUGUGCGCGUAAGAAGCAGCAGUUCUUGUCUGCCCCGUGCAUCUUCUGUUCACGCGCCAAGGGCUGAGCGUAGCCACCUCAGAACCCGGUCCCCAGCGCAGUGCCGGUGAGCAGGCAGGGAUGCUGAAGCCGGAGUCGGCGUAACGCGGGGUACCCUGGACUCGCGACUCCGCGGGCUCCAGAGGCUGCGGCGCCCGGCCCUGCGCUUGCGAGGGCGCGAGGAAACUCUUCGGUGUCCUGCCUUUGAGCGCCAAGGCGACGCUUGCCCUAGUCCUUUUGCGCCGAGCUGAGCGAGCUGUCAAGGGCAGAAGCCAUCUGAUCCUCGGGGAUGCUCUGCUACCAGCGACCCCAGGCCCGUACAGCACAGAGGACCGCGGCAGUGCUCCAUCAGUACUCUCUGGCCGGGCAUCCCGCGACGCGGCCAGGAAAGUCCCAGACUGCAGCAAGGAAUGCAUACAUGGCGAGAACAAGCAUGGGACAUGUCUGUAGUAGGGUACUGGCAACUUACCACUCCACGCUUCUUCUGACAGCCACCGAUGGGAGAACACAGCAAGCCAGCAGUUGAAGACACACUUUCAACUAUCCCUUCUUUUUAGGACUUGAUCAAUGGAAUCGACUACAAACUCAAGAAGGAGCCUAGACACAUCUGAGUCUCAGGUGUGUCUCUGCCUCCGGGGACCUAAAGCGGCACAGUGUCUCCUUAGGGCUCCAGAUUCUCAUAAGCAAAUUAAAUUCAAUUGUGAGGUCAUGGAGACACAUGCUGGUCCAUGUUGAUGAAUCCAGCCCAAUGUAAACAUACAGAGACUGGUGGAGAUUGUUCCAGACAUCAUGAACAUUCAAGGGCCAGGUAACAGCAAUCAAAAAUACAAAAAUACUGGCCACACUUGGUCUCUCCCGUGACAAAGUGAGGACCAACCGAGUAAUCCAAUGUGAACUUGGUGUUUCUCUAAAGAUCAAAUUCUCUCUCUUUCUGGAGCUCUAAUACAGUCUGGUUCUUAGGUAUGUUGGUCUGGUUUAAUUUUCUCAGUUUUGAAUUGGUACUAGGAACAUUAAAAAUUCAAAUAAAAAUGACCACAUUCCAAAAACCAAGGUCACAGGAGUAUGUUUUCCCAGUAGGAGGGACAUCCAGCACUCUACAGUCUCUUUAAACACAGCAACAGACAGUUAUAGAAACAUUAUAGAUUAUCUCUUAAAACUACCAAUCCAGAGCUUCUGGGGUUGAAAAUCAGAUGGACGAGCUCUGGAAACAGGAAGCUGGGAAGUGUUGCCAGGAUCUCUGUAUGUUCAAGACAAAGGCAAGAUACUUGGGCACACCAUGGGUAGUAAAGUCUGACUUUGUCCAUGAGAUGAUUCACAUUUAGGCUACAGGGAAGUCUUUGACUCCAGGUAAGUGAAGGGACCUUUUCUCAUUAAUAGUUUUUUUUUUGGGGGGGGGGGCACUUUCUAUGGAGAAAUAAUGUUUUCCUGAUUUUAGGAAGUCAAGAAAGUCAAAAUGGGCACCAAGCCCUUACCAUUGGCUGCUCAAAGUGUGUCAAAGGGGACACCAACUCAUAGCAUCAAUAAUAACAUUUAAGAUACACAAAGAUGCAGAAAUCAAGAGUAAGAAUGAGCCAGUGCGGAGGAGCACGUCAACCAGAGUGGCUGAGCCUCUACUGCAAGUCUGUCCCUUUUGUACCAGAACUCCAAAGGAACAGUUGUAGACUCAGAGCUAAUACUCACCUUUCUGUGCAGAAUUUUAAUCACAUAUUUCCUUUCUUUGAACAACAGGUAGAGCUGCUUGUUUUAAAACUUCCUGAAUUGCAUUUUAAUGAAUGCUUUAAUGGAAGAUGUCCCGUAUCUCAAUUCAGGUUUUAGGGUGAAACACAUCUCCUGUGACGUUUAUAAUAUACCCUCUUCGUGGUUAAACAUCACAUGUGACAAUGAACACCCCAUCCAGUUUUCCUCCAGUUAGAGGCAGUGGAGGUGAGACUUGUUAACAUUCUGAAGAAGAACAGAAAGCACAGAACAUGUCAGCAUUAGAGGACAUCAGGGAAGCAUUUGAAGACCGGCUCUACCACCCAUGGGAAGGAUCUUGAGGCUCACAUGAAAUCUUUUUUGUGGCUCGUGAUAUUUCUGGGUAGCAGAUGCUUUCUCAAAAACAGAUUUUACUUUUAAAAAUAUCAAAUAUAAUUAACACUUUCAACAUAAAAUGAAGUCUUUGCUUCCAGAUGCAUUUCAAGGUGUUGAAAUCAAUCCAUGCGGCCUUCUAUGGCUAAGAGUUUUCGCUAUAUUAUUGGUUUUAUUGUCCCUUCUAUGUGCCAUGUCUGAAGACUUGGGAAUAAGAGCAGGACAUUUAAACUUUACUGUGUAUGAAAGAUGCCUACUAAGGAGGAAUGUUUUGAUAGUCUUUUGAACUAUCCUGACCAAUAUGGUGUAACUUAUGAGGUUAAGAACUAUAUAUACUAGUACCCCUUUGAAAAAAAACAGAGUAGGUAAAAACGGUGUAAGCAUCCUAGACACUGCAUUAAGUUUUUGAGAAGGGGUAAACCUUUUAAACAUGUUUAAAACAAACAAACAAACAAACAACAACAAAGCAAAAUAGAAUUGUUUGCAAAAGCUCAAAAGUUUCAAUAAAGAAAACCCAACAUACUAAGCCCAGGAAAUACUGGGGUGAUUUAGCCUCUCUUUUAAGAUAAUGACGAGUUCUAUCUUCCCAGUUAUUCCCUCACCGGGAGUAUCACUGGCUUGUUUAGAACCACCCCCAUCACGUCACAGGUACUGAGAAGUACAUGUGUCAACAAAGCCUUUUCUUAUUUAGAUGCAGCAAUAUAUCAAAUGUGAAUGUAUAGUUUUUCAUACGAGGUGACUAGAAUGUCGAUUCUUAUCCUGUAUAGAAGGACGAGGACAGGGGAAGGCAUACAUUAAUUUGAUUUAUGAGUGAGGGGGAAAUCCCAUGCAAAAGUUAUGUAGAGUAUCAUUAUCAUAGUUGCCCCAAAUCAGGAAAGCAGGGCUAAGAUGUAGCUUGAUUCGUAGAGUUUGUCUGGCAUGAAUAAAGCUCUGGGUUCUAAUCUUCCAGCAUCACAUAAGCCAUGGUAGUACAAAUUCUAGCACCUGGAGGCAGGAAAGAGGACAGAGGGCUCAAGGUCACUCUGGACUGUAAAAUGAGUUUGAGAGGAACUGGGGGAACAGAAGACUUUAUUUUAGAAAACAAUAAGACAGGAACUAUUUAAGUAUUUGGGACAUAUUCUCUGAAGUUAUUUAAUUUUCUCCGGCCAUUAACUAGUUAAAAUGCACCAUAGCAAACCAGAGAAACAACCCAUUCUUUCUUGGCCAUGUGUGAAAGACCUUUUUGAUGGGUCAUCCUUACUUUAUUCUGAAUUCUAAAGUCUUAGACAGAAAGGAUUUCUGAGAGUUUCUGAGCCCUUUAGUUUGUGUGCAGGGUUGGGUGAGGUGUCUUUGUCUAGUGGCUUCCUUGUAGGCUAGGACAAGACAGUGACAUAGUGGCCCCGCAUACUAUGGUUCUCAUAGCAGGUGAGAAUGACUUACUCCACACAUCUUGCUGUUUCUGCUGCUUCCACUCCCUCCUUUGAAAUCUGCAGCUCUGAAGAAUUUCAUGCCUGGUACACUGAUCUACAUGACUGUCUUUACCCUGAGGACUGUGUGUGGUUCCUAACCCUGAUUGAUUUUCUGAUUUCUAUUUUGAUACCUAUCACAUGGGCUCUGUAGGAUUCAGUACAACCAUCUGCUCCGUCUUGGAUGCCUGUUAGACCACCCAGCUCCUCUAGAGAACGGGGCUGGCCCUUGUCUGGUCAUCUCUCUCUGGUUUUUCUUGCUCUGCAGUAUAGAGAACUUAUUCACUUCAAUAGCCGGGGAAGCUACAAUUUACCUGUUAGUAAACAGAAGAUGGUUUAUCAACAGACUUUACCUUAAUGACUACAAAUGUUUACCUCCUGCUUUCCAGAAUGCAAAGAAAGUCUUGGAAAUGUCAUAAUAUGUAACAAACAUUUGCAACACAGAUCCUUGUUCAUCUUUACAAGAGACAAUUGUAUUCUGUCUUCACUGACACAAGAAAACAUUCAGUAAAAAACACAGAUAGGUGCACACACUUAGACGCAAAUGAAUAUGCUAAUUAAAAUUGCAGCGGGCAGUUUAUUAAAAAUUUAUUUUACAAUCCAGCCAUUUAAAACAUCUUUACACCAACAAACAGAGCAGCCUGACUCCAAGAAUCAUAAGUGACUUAUCUUAAAAGGAAUAUAUUUAUAGUUGGAUGCAAGUAUUUUUGAGGAAUUUUGUACCAAAUUAUGUUUUGUUAUGAGCAUUUUGAUUUUUCUCUUUUUACCCACAGGGAAAAAUUUUAAAACAAGUAUCUCGUGUUCAUUUUAUGGAUGAGAGGACUUCACUCACUGAAUCUGCCAUGUUUGUCCGAAUUACAGCUGUUUAUCUUGCAAGUUUCUUUAAGAUUAAUUAAAUGCAAAUGAAACCCUGUGAAUCAUGGGAAUACCUGCCAGACCCCUUAUUAAUACCUUCACUUAAACCUCCUUUGCCAGAGAGUCAUUAAUUUGCUAAAAGAAAAGUGCUAAAGCAGUCCUUUGCCUACAGCAGCUUUGAGAUGGCUACCCAAUUAGUUCGGUAGCAUUCUGAUCCUCUUUCUAGGCCCCGUGGCCCUUUGAGGACACAAGAAGGCUCCGAUGAUAACCUGGCAACCCAGGUAGAAACUCGGCCAAGUGUGAGUGUUUGAAGCUGCAGUUUGGCUGCCAUCGUGUCGGCAGAGAGAAAGAAUUCAGGCACCAUGUCAUCCAGUACAAAGGAUAAAAACGGAUUCAACCGGAAAUUCAAUGUGGCACCACAUAUGGGAUACAUGAGUGCGGUUAUACAACAGGCCACAUAUUUUUUUUUGAACAGUCUCCUACAUGUGAUGCCGAGGACAUGUGUAACCAUCAUAGCGUCUCUAGGAAUCUGUAUUUAAUUUGCGUUGGGGUGGUGGCAGGGAUUGGAGAUCUGAAGCUGCCACAGGUUUGUGGCAGAUGGCUCUGUGUCAGCUA
rnacentral:sRNA from 1 species